rnacentral:rRNA from 1 species
CUGGUCGAGUCGGCCUGCGCGGAAGAUGUAACGGGGCUAAACCAUGCACCGAAGCUGCGGCAGCGACACUGUGUGUUGUUGGGUAGGGGAGCGUUCUGUAAGCCUGUGAAGGUGGCCUGUGAGGGUUGCUGGAGGUAUCAGAAGUGCGAAUGCUGACAUAAGUAACGAUAAAGCGGGUGAAAAGCCCGCUCGCCGGAAGACCAAGGGUUCCUGUCCAACGUUAAUCGGGGCAGGGUGAGUCGACCCCUAAGGCGAGGCCGAAAGGCGUAGUCGAUGGGAAACGGGUUAAUAUUCCCGUACUUGGUGUUACUGCGAAGGGGGGACGGAGAAGGCUAUGUUGGCCGGGCGACGGUUGUCCCGGUUUAAGCGUGUAGGUGUGUGUUCCAGGUAAAUCCGGUUCACUUUAACACUGAGGCGUGACGACGAGGCACUACGGUGCUGAAGCAACAAAUGCCCUGCUUCCAGGAAAAGCCUCUAAGCAUCAGGUAACAUCAAAUCGUACCCCAAACCGACACAGGUGGUCAGGUAGAGAAUACCAAGGCGCUUGAGAGAACUCGGGUGAAGGAACUAGGCAAAAUGGUGCCGUAACUUCGGGAGAAGGCACGCUGACACGUAGGUGAAGUGAUUUACUCAUGGAGCUGAAGUCAGUCGAAGAUACCAGCUGGCUGCAACUGUUUAUUAAAAACACAGCACUGUGCAAACACGAAAGUGGACGUAUACGGUGUGACGCCUGCCCGGUGCCGGAAGGUUAAUUGAUGGGGUCAGCGCAAGCGAAGCUCCUGAUCGAAGCCCCGGUAAACGGCGGCCGUAACUAUAACGGUCCUAAGGUAGCGAAAUUCCUUGUCGGGUAAGUUCCGACCUGCACGAAUGGCGUAAUGAUGGCCAGGCUGUCUCCACCCGAGACUCAGUGAAAUUGAACUCGCUGUGAAGAUGCAGUGUACCCGCGGCAAGACGGAAAGACCCCGUGAACCUUUACUAUAGCUUGACACUGAACAUUGAGCCUUGAUGUGUAG